ensembl:lincRNA 1700027I24Rik RIKEN cDNA 1700027I24 gene
GUGUCCUCACAAUGGGUUGUUCCUCUUACAUCCUGUUCAGGCAGGCUGGCCCUGCAACCCAUGGCAAUGCCACUAGUGAAGAGCAUUUUCUGUGUGUAGAAUAGUGUGUUAGGGGUAGCUUCAAAAACAAACAAAAAAUGUUACCAGAACACACAUGUUCUUUUAGUGAAAGUUUAAAAGAUAGCACUUCUUUGCAGAGGGUCAACAGUGAAGUGUGGUGACCUGGUUACUUUCUGUUUGACUGAGUGUUUCAUGGCUCUGGUUUGCACUCUGGAAGACUAAUCUUUGCUGAGAUUAGCUGAGUGGUUUUGGCUUCAAACUGAGGCUUCAUGGAGACUGCAACAUAGUCUGUGACCUCAAUGGUAAGCCCAGAGCCUUGAGCUUGCUAAACAACUGCUCUACCCACCGAAUCUCAAGAUCCUCAACUCUACAGUGUGACACAUGAAAAGAGUGAGAGCAAAUGGAUGGAGUAUGUAGAAGGUAUGGGAAAAGUGUCCUGAGAAAAAGUAAAAAGAAGAGAGAGGAAAAGAGAUCAACAAAUGGUCAGAAUUCAAAAUACCUUUCAGAGGUCUAAAAGUAAACAACAACAACAACAAAAAAAAGAAUGUCAAAAUUUAGCUGCUUUUAAAGUAAAGUAGCAAAAUAAAUACCUAAAAACAAAUACUUUAAGCGCAAACUCAAAUAAAAAAGGUAUCU